rnacentral:rRNA from 1 species
AUGGCUCAGGAUGCUGUUGCACUUAAUGGACUAAAUGGCGACCGUCAUAGGCAGUUUCGUAGGUCUGUGAUACCGAUUCUUAUGUAUAAUCGGGAAGGUGAAAAUCCAAAUAAACCAAUUUCUGUUAUUUCGGGCAUAGUCACGGUCUCUGGUGGAGGGUUUUGCCACAUAAUAGCAUACAAGGGGUUACUUUUUCCCCCAGAGGCACACAAGUACAGAUAUGAAAUUGUUUUUCCCAAUGAUAUGAGGGUAGACCUUGAACACCUCGGCGUGGAAAGACAUGGUCUUUUGGCUGGUUUCUAUUGUCAUGUUCCUGUUGAAACUGUAGAUGCUGUCCACUUUGGUAUUCAAACUACGAGGAACCAAGAACUUAAGAUGUAUGGAUAUCAGGUUGAUAAUGUAUCAGGGCGAUUACAAAAUGAUCUAACUGAUGGCUAUCUGACUCAUGUAGAGGAACAAUAUCAAGAGUUCAGACAUGAUUGUACACCUUCAUUUUUUUCUCGAAGAGGAUCACCUGUUUUCAAUGAGCAAAGGCAACUCGUCGGUAUAUCUUUUAAGGAUAUUGGUGUAAAGCCUUGGAUAUUGGGUAUAUAA